rnacentral:ncRNA from 12 species
AGCGAUAGAUUUGAACUUAUGAAGGCAGGUGCAUAAACCAGCAGCAAUUCUAUGAAUUGUGGGAUCCUUCGUUCAGAAUGUCGCUUUUUU